rnacentral:rRNA from 1 species
UGGGAAUUUUAGACAAUGGGCGCAAGCCUGAUCCAGCCAUGCCGCGUGCGGGAAGAAGGCCUUCGGGUUGUAAACCGCUUUUGUCAGGGAAGAAAUCUUCUGAGUUAAUACCUCGGGAGGAUGACGGUACCUGAAGAAUAAGCACCGGCUAACUACGUGCCAGCAGCCGCGGUAAAUACGUAGGGUGCAAAGCGUUAAUCGGAAUACUGGGCGUAAAGCGUGCGCAGGCGGUUUUGUAAGACAGAGGUGAAAAUCCCCGGGCUCAACCUGGGGACUGCCUUUGUGACUGCAAGGCUUGAGUGCGGCAGAGGGGGAUGGAAUUCCGCGUGUAGCAGUGAAAUGCGUAGAUAUGCGGAGGAACACCGAUGGCGAAGG